rnacentral:rRNA from 1 species
UACGUAGGGGGCAAGCGUUGUCCGGAAUCAUUGGGCGUAAAGAGCGUGUAGGCGGUUCGGUAAGUCGGCUGUGAAAGUCCAGGGCUCAACCCUGGGAUGCCGGUCGAUACUGCCGGACUAGAGUUCGGAAGAGGCGAGUGGAAUUCCCGGUGUAGCGGUGAAAUGCGCAGAUAUCGGGAAGAACACCCGUGGCGAAGGCGGUUCUCUGGGACGGUACUGGACGCUGAGACGCGAAAGCGUGGGGAGCGAACAGG